GUGGGGAAUAUUGCACAAUGGGGGGAACCCUGAUGCAGCGACGCCGCGUGAGGGAAGAAGGUUUUCGGAUUGUAAACCUCUGUCUUGUGGGACGAUAAUGACGGUACCACAGGAGGAAGCCAUGGCUAACUACGUGCCAGCAGCCGCGGUAAUACGUAGAUGGCGAGCGUUGUCCGGAAUUACUGGGUGUAAAGGGAGUGUAGGCGGGAUCAUAAGUUGCGUGUGAAAUGCAGGGGCUCAACCCCUGAACUGCGCGCAAAACUGUGGUUCUUGAGUGAAGUAGAGGCAGGCGGAAUUCCCGGUGUAGCGGUGGAAUGCGUAGAUAUCGGGAGGAACACCAGUGGCGAAGGCGGCCUGCUGGGCUUUUACUGACGCUGAGGCUCGAAAGCAUGGGGAGCAAACAGGAUUAGAAACCCUAGUAGUCC
rnacentral:rRNA from 1 species